UUUUGUCUUAGUAGCGGACGGGUGAGUAAACGCGUAAGAAUCUGCCCCUAGGAAAGCAAUACCAACUGGAAACGGUUGCUAAUAGUUUAUAUGCUGAGAAGUUAAAUGGGUUACCGCCUAGGGAUGAGCUUGCGUCUGAUUAGCUAGUUGGUGGGGUAAAGGCUUACCAAGGCAACUAUCAGUAGCUGGUCUGAGAGGAUGAUCAGCCACACUGGGACUGAGACACGGCCCAGACUCCUACGGGAGGCAGCAGUGAGGAAUUUUCCGCAAUGGGCGAAAGCCUGACGGAGCAAUGCCGCGUGAAGGAUGAAGGCCUGCGGGUUGUAAACUUCUUUUCUUAGAGAAGAUAAUGACGGUAUCUAAGGAAUAAGCAUUGGCUAACCUUGUGCCAGCAGCCGCGGUAAUACAAGGAAUGCAAGCGUUAUCCCGAAUGAUUGGGCGUAAAGCGUCUGUAGGUGGUUAUGAAAGUCUAUUGUCAAAAACCAAGGCUUAACCUUGGGUCGGCAAUGGAAACUUCAUGACUAGAGUACGGUAGAGGUAGAGGGAAUUACCGGUGUAACGGUGAAAUGUGCAGAUAUCGGUAAGAACACCAAUGGCGAAAGCACUCUACUGGGCCGAGACUGACACUCAGAGACGAAAGCUAGAGGAGCGAAUAGGAUUAGAUACCCUAGUAGUUCUAGCUGUAAACGAUGGAAACUAAGUAUUGAGCUUUUUAUUAAAGAGCAGUACUGUAGCUAACGCGUUAAGUUUCCCGCCUGGGGAGUAUGCUCGCAAGAGUG
rnacentral:rRNA from 1 species